CAUCGAGUCUUUGAACGCAAAUUGCGCCCUCGGUUUGAAGCCGGGGGCACGUCUGUCUGAGCGUCCGUUUCGUUUAAGUCCAUCCCGAACACAAGCGUCGGGACGGCGAGUUGAGGUGUCGUUCCGCGAGGGGCGUCCCUUGAAGUGCGAAGCGCCGCGGUUGCGUAGGCCUCUCCUCUCGAGUGUCCUUCCACCUUGCGCGUCGGGAACUCGACGAUGACAAGGAGGUCGGCCUCGACUGCGAGGACUUUUCGUUUCCGGGCGAAGAAUAUUUUGGUUUUACCAAAGGAGCGGCCACCCCGCUUCCAUCCUGGACCUCAGCUCAGGCGUGACUACCCGCUGAAUUUAAGCAUAUCAAUAAGCGGAGGAAAAGAAACCAACAGGGAUUCCCCCAGUAACGGCGAGCGAAGCGGGAAUAGCUCGAGCCUUAAAUCUCCGGUGAGCAACCGGCGAAUUGUAGCCGAGAGAGGCACCUGCGCUCGGUUGGUCGGUCGGCCAAAGUUGACCUGGAAUGGCGCGUCAUAGAGGGUGAGAACCCCGUACGCGGCCGAUUGGCUGCCGAGAUAUUAGGUGUCUUUGGAGAGUCAGGUUGUUUGGGAAUGCAGCCCAAAGUGGGUGGUAAACUCCACCUAAAGCUAAAUAUUAAGCACGAGACCGAUAGCAAACAAGUACCGUGAGGGAAAGGUGAAAA
rnacentral:rRNA from 1 species